AGAGUUUGAUCCUGGCUCAGAAUGAACGUUGGCGGCGUGCCUAACACAUGCAAGUCGAGCGUGAAAGUCCUUCGGGAUGAGUAAAGCGGCGGACGGGUGAGUAACGCGUGAGAAUUUACCUUUUAGUGGAGAAUACCUUUGAGAAAUCAAAGUUAAUACUGCAUACGUCUCGAAAGAGAGAAAGAUGGCCUAAUUGCUGUCGCUAGAAGAUAAGCUUGCGUUCUAUUAGUUAGUUGGUGAGGUAAUGGCUCACCAAGACGAUGAUGGAUAGCCGGCCUGAGAGGGCGAACGGCCACAUUGGAACUUAGACACGGUCCAAACUCCUACGGGAGGCAGCAGUGAGGAAUAUUGCACAAUGGGCGAAAGCCUGAUGCAGCGACGCCGCGUGGAGGAUGAAGGUUUUCGG
rnacentral:rRNA from 1 species